rnacentral:lncRNA from 1 species
CUCUCCGGGCUGCAUAUAGUGAAUUUAAAUGAUCCUCUGCCCUCUCUAGUGGAGUCUUAUUUGGGAUUUCAUCCUCCAUCAUUCACUUUUAGUUCACUCAAUUUACAAUGACACAGUUGUUGGUUUGAUUGUUAAACGUAAUGCCCCUUUAGACCUCCUUUAAUGCUUUAAAACACAGUCAUCCAUUUCAGCAUAUUGACCCAUUUUGAAUUGAACAUGUGCAAGUUCGGCAUUUUAGUUGCGUUUUAAACAUUUCAUCCCUUUAUACGUUUUGUCCCUUUAAUGAAGUUUGAACACGCAGUAUCAUUCGUUGCGUGGAUGCAUUGCAUUUCCACGUUAGGCCAAAUAUUAGACAUAUGAUUAGGUUACAUUGUGCAUAGGAUCUCAGUGUUUCCCAAACUUAAACAUCUUAAUUGUUUUCACAGCGCUGUGUUUUGAAUUCCAUUCCCAAGUUUAUCAAACAUUCCAAUUAUAAGCACAUUUGCGCUUCCAUAAUAUGCAUGAUCAAACGAUCGCAUUGAACAGGGCAGCUCAUUCAUUCGCAGUGGUUACUCACGGCUGGCGAAUUCUAGGAGUUCAAGUCCUUCCAAGCGAGCUGUCCUUAUGGUACGAAUGCAAUUACAAAUAGAAUAAUAUCCAGUGUGUGUCCAAAACCGGAGAUUUCCUUCCGAUAGGAUUGCUUCACGGAGUUUUUUGACUUGAUUGUAGUGGCUUCCUUUCCUCUUUACCAUAGCCACUGCCCAAGCCUGAAGCGGGGUUGUUUGGUACGCAUUCAGUCCACACUCAAGGUUUCCAAAAAGCCAAACAUUCAAUGUGAUCCAGGGAUAUGGUGCAACAAAAAUGUUUAUUCUUCUUAUAUCUAACAGGAAAAUGAAUAUCCAAUCAACUUAAAACAUAGGUUACUUGAUAUGGAAAAUACACAAUAUGACCUGUCUGUAUGUCUGUAUGGUCAAAAAACUAUACCGCUCCCGCGUCUAGCAAGGACUCCUCCCCCCAAAGGCCCAACUUCCUGCUUUUAUCCUAACACACUUACUGCAGUACAAUGAAUGGGCAAGAGGGGGGGGACAAAACUAAGUUACACUAACAACAAAUGAAUACAUCUCAAACAGGUAAAUAUAAAUCAUAAAGGUACGUACCUAAUAUUUCAUCAUAUACAUUCAUAUUUACACAAAUAUACAUGGAGCUCUGAAUGUUCUGUCUUUUAUACAAAUAUGUCCAAAUAGGCUCUAACAAUCCUCAUUACCAGCCCCAAUACCAUCCACAAUACCAUCCACAAUACCAGCCCCAAUACCAUCCACAAUACCAUCCACAAUAUAAUCCACAACACAAGUCCCAAUACCAGCCCCAAUACCAGCCACAAUACCAUCCACAAUACCAUCCACAAUACCAUCCACAAUACCAUCCACAAUAGCAUCCACAAUACCAGCCCCAAUACCAGUCCCAAUACCAUCCACAAUACCAUCCACAAUACAAGCCCCAAUACCCUCCACAAUACCAGUCCCAAUACCAGUCCCAAUACCAUCCACAAUACAAGCCCCAAUACAAGCCCCAAUACCAGUCCCAAUACCAGUCCCAAACCAGUCGCAAUACCAUCCACAUUACCAGCCCCAAUACCAUCCACAAUACUAUACACAAUACCAGCCCCAAUACCAUCCACAAUACCAUCCACAAUACCAUCCACAAUACCUUCCACAAUACAAGCCCCAAUACCAGUCCCAAUACCAGUCCCAAACCAGUCCCAAUACCAUCCACAUUACCAGCCCCAAUACCAUCCACAAUACUAUACACAACACCAGCCCCAAUACCAUCCACAAUACCAUCCACAAUACAAGCCCCAAUACCAGCCCCACUACCAGCCCCAAUACCAGCCCCAAUUCCAUCCACAAUACCAGCCCCAAUACCAUCCACAAUACCAUCCCCAAUACCAUCCACAAUACCAUCCACAAUACCAGCCCCAAUACCAUCCCCAAUACCAUCCACAAUACCAGCCCCAAUACCAUCCACAAUACCAUCCACAAUACCAGCCCCAAUACCAUCCACAAUACCAUCCACAACACCAUCCACAAUACCAGCCCCAAUACCAGCCCCAAUACCAGCCCCUAUACCAGCCCCAAUACCAUCCACAAUACCAUCCACAAUACCAUCCACAAUACCUUCCACAAUACAAGCCCCAAUACCAGUCCCAAUACCAGUCCCAAACCAGUCCCAAUACCAUCCACAUUACCAGCCCCAAUACCAUCCACAAUACUAUACACAAUACCAGCCCCAAUACCAUCCACAAUACCAUCCACAAUACCAUCCACAAUACCAUCCACAAUACAAGCCCCAAUACCAGCCCCAAUACCAGCCCCAAUACCAGCCCCAAUACCAGCCCCAAUACCAUCCACAAUACCAUCCCCAAUACCAUCCACAAUACCAUCCACAAUACCAUCCACAAUACCAUCCACAAUACCAUCGACAAUACCAUCCACAAUACAAGCCCCAAUACCAGCCCCAAUACCAGCCCCAAUACCAGCCCCAAUUCCAUCCACAAUUCCAUCAAAAAUACCAGCCCCAAUACCAUCCACAAUACCAUCCACAAUACCAGCCACAAUACCAUCCCCAAUACCAUCCCCAAUACCAUCCCCAAUACCAUCCACAAUACCAUCCACAAUACCAUCCACAAUACCAGCCCCAAUACCAUCCACAAUACCAUCCACAACACCAUCCACAAUACCAGCCCCAAUACCAGCCCCAAUACCAUCCACAAUACCAUCCACAAUACCAUCCACAAUACCAUCCACAAUACCAGUCCCAAUACCAGUCCCAAUACCAUCCACAAUACCAUCCACAAUACAAGCCCCAAUACCCUCCACAAUACCAUCCACAAUACCAGUCCCAAUACCAGUCCCAAUACCAGUCCCAAUACAAGCCCCAAUACAAGCCCCAAUACCAGUCCCAAUACCAUCCACAUUACCGUCCACAAUAUAAUCCACAACACAAGUCCCAAUACCAGCCCCAAUACCAGCCACAAUACCAUCCACAAUACCAUCCACAAUACCAUCCACAAUACCAUCCCCAAUACCAUCCCCAAUACCAUCCCCAAUACCAGUCCCAAUACCAGUCCCAAUACCAUCCACAAUACCAUCCACAAUACAAGCCCUAAUACCCUCCACAAUACCAUCCACAAUACCAUCCACAAUACCAGUCCCAAUACCAGUCCCAAUAACAUCCACAAUACAAGCCCCAAUACCAGUCCCAAUACCAGUCCCAAUACCAGUCCCAAACCAGUCCCAAUACCAUCCACAUUACCAGCCUCAAUACCAUCCACAAUACUACACACAAUACCAGCCCCAAUACCAUCCACAAUACCAUCCACAAUACCAUCCACAAUACAAGCCCCAAUACCAGCCCCAAUACCAGCCCCAAUUCCAUCCACAAUACCAUCCACAAUACCAGCCCCAAUACCAUCCACAAUACCAUCCCCAAUACCAUCCACAAUACCAUCCACAAUACCAGCCCCAAUACCAUCCCCAAUACCAUCCACAAUACCAGCCCCAAUACCAUCCACAAUACCAUCCACAAUACCAGCCCCAAUACCAUCCACAAUACCAUCCACAAUACCAGCCCCUAUACCAGCCCCUAUACCAGCCCCUAUACCAGCCCCAAUACCAUCCACAAUACCAUCCACAAUACGAGUCCCAAUACCAUCCACAAUACCAGCCCCAAUACCAUCCACAAUACGAGUCCCAAUACCAUCCCCAAUACCAUCCACAAUACCAUCCCCAAUACCAUCCCCAAUACCAUCCCCAAUACCAUCCCCAAUACCAUCCACAAUACCUGCCACAAUACCAUCCCCAAUACCAUCCCCAAUACCAUCCCCAAUACCAUCCACAAUACCUGCCACAAUACGAGUCCCAAUACCAUCCCCAAUACCAGCCCCAAUACCAUCCACAAUACCAUCCACAAUACCAUCCCCAAUACCAUCCACAAUACCUGCCCCAAUACCAUCCACAAUACCUGCCCCAAUACCAUCCACAAUACCAGCCACAAUACGAGUCCCAUUACCAUCCAUAAUACCAGCCCCAAUACCAUCCACAAUACCAUCCACAGUAUGAGUCCCAAUAUCAUCCACAAUACCAGCCCCAAUACCAGCCCCAAUACCAUCUACAAUACCAGCCCCAAUACCAGCUCCAAUACCAGCCCCAGUACAAUCCACAAUACCAGCCCCAAUACCAGCCCCAAUACCAGCCCCAAUACCAUCCCCAAUACCAUCCCCAAUACCAGCCCCAAUACCAGCCCCAAUACCAGCCCCAAUACCAGCCCCAAUUCCAGCCCCAAUUCCAGCCCCAAUUCCAGCCCCAAUUCCAGUCCCAAUACCAUCCACAAUACCAUCCACAAUACCAUUCCCAAUACCAGCCCCAAUACCAGCCCCAUCACCAUCCACAAUACCAGCCCCAAUGCCAUCCACAAUACCAUCCACAAUACCAGUCCAAAUACCAUCUACAAUACCAUCCACAAUACCAGUCCCAAUACCAUCCACAAUACCAGCCCCAAUACCAUUCACAAUUCCAGUCCCAAUACCAUCCACAAUACCAGCCCCAAUACCAUCCACAAUACCAGUCCCAAAUACCAUCCACAAUACCAUCCACAAUACCAGCCCCAAUACAAGCCCCUAUACCAGCCCCAAUACCAUCCACAAUACCAUCCACAAUACGAGUCCCAAUACUAUCCACAAUACCAGCCCCAAUACCAUCCACAAUACCAGUCCCAAUACCAUCCACAAUACCAUCCACAAUACCAUCCACAAUACCAUCCACAAUACCAGCCCCUAUACCAUCCACAAUACCAGCCCCAAUACCAUCCACAAUACCAGCCCCAAUACCAUUCACAAUACCAGUCCCAAUACCAUCCACAAUACCAUCCACAAUACCAUCCGCAAUACCAUCCACAACGCCAGCCGCAAUGCCAGCCUCAAUGCCAGCCUCAAUGCCAGCCUCAAUGCCAUCCCCAGUCCAACAUAAGACCAGCAACUGAUCCUGUUUCUAUAGAAACCCAAUUUAAACCUUAGGGUCAUCCAUCCUUGACUGUAACAGAGGUUGUGUGUGUGUGGGUGUGCGUGUGUGUGUAUUGAUGGCCAAGAAAGUAUCUUUGAUUUACCUUGAAGGUUCUGUGUUUUCGGCUGAGUAAGAGAAACACUGACUCCACUUAAAUCAAACUAAGUUCUUCUCCAACUCAUAUCGAUGCAUUCUGGGUAAAUAUUUGUCAUAUUGAUUUUCUCCCUGAUCCUCCUCUGAAGGCAACAGACGUUUAGUAUUCAUAGGGGUAUCUGAUAACAGUGCUUAGUAUGGUAAUAAUGCUAUCGCAAAGUGUGUGUGUGUUAUAAUGUUGUCUCUACCUGAAUUUUAAAGACUGGCUCGUUCAAAUUACACAGACUUAUUUGUGUCAAUGACAUUGUCAUGGAAAUUCGCACUAAGGACUCUCUAAACUCAAUGUAAAUUAAUCAAUCUUUAUUAUCACGGCCGGAGAGGUUCACAGACUCAAUCGAAGCUUGAUGAAAACUCUGAAAAGGGCGUUCCCUCUCAGUCCUUAUAUACUGCUACACAAACAAGUCAUAUGAGCAUGAUUUACAUAAUUCAUAAUUCAUUAUUCAUGUUGGUUCCUGCAUGUGACCAACAAGGAUUCUUCUCUCAAAGCUGGGACCUUGAAACUGAGAUCAUCCUUUCGGUUUUCAGAACAAUGUUCUGGGCAUACUACCAACUGGUCUGGUCUGAGGAGGUCACAGUCAUCUGCACGAACCAAGAUAGAGUGAGAGAAGAUGCUGUUUACAAUUCAAUGCUAUCGCUUCAGACAACAUUUUCCCUCACAUUCCUUCCUUUUAUCACUCUGUGAUAAUUAUUGUAACAUGUUAAGGUAAUCAUUAGAUUAUAGCUUAAGCAAUCAAAGGAGGUUCUAUACUUCUAUUAAAGUAAGCGAAAUCAACACAUAAAACCAUACACUUUAUCCUUUCAAACCCUUAGUUCUGAGUUGUACAAUCUAACUAGUAAGUCAUACAGUUACACACAUGCUUCAUUACACAAUUUCAUUUAUGGAAAUACUAUCAUCAUAAUAAUGCUAAAAUCUACAGGCAAGCUUAUACUUCUAUCAACGGGAGUGAAUCUAUCCAAAAAUACACACAUACAGUAUACACAAGGUAUCUGUAGACCAAGAGGUAAAUAAAUCUCUCAAGGUUUAAUCAUUGUUUCCAUAGCUCUUACCACAAUCGGGUUGCAUUGACCUGUUCUGUACUAACUGUCCCUGGGACAUCAACUAGUCAAAAUAUCAAACCUGUUGUUUAACAAAUCUGCUAGGGCCUUCAAAAAGUUGGUGCUGACUUAUCAUUUCAAUAUUCAGUACCAAAAACAUUUACUUGGAUCUACUUCAAUUUUGGACAGGUUUCCACAUAAUGGAAAAAGACGAUUGUUUUAGAUGACAUUACCUUCUUAUUUAAAUCACUGUAAUAUUUCAACUAUAGAAUUGAGAAAUAAUAAUUGGAAAUUGUAAAAAACUGUCUUAUUCGAUUAUUGGUACCUCUCUCCCAAAUUUUCCCACUGUGUUGCUUACAGCCUGAGUUCAGUGAGUACCACUCACUUUCACUGGCAGCUUAUCUAUUGGUCCAUAGGAAGCUUAUCUUAACCCAAACACCAGAUGACAGCCUCUAAUAUAAUAUCAGUCCCAAGGCUCAAUCCCUCUGUUUGUCAUGUGACCUUGUAUUGAAACCUUUAUUUCUUCAAAUUACUAAGAUGUUGCAUUAUUAGAGUGCUAUCUGAAAGCCACUGAAAUUACCAUUCACAUACUGUCAACACUCAUUCAAUUUGCGGUCUAAGGGUCUAAGGCACUGCAUCACAGUGCUAGAAGCGUCAUUACAGACCUGGGUUCGAUCCCAGGCUGUGUCGCAACCAGCUGAAACCAGGAGACCUGUGAGGCAGCGCACAAUUGGCCCAGCAUCAUCCGGGUUAGGGGAGGGUUUGGCUGGCCGGGAUGUCCUUGCACCAUUGCGCUCUAGCAACUCCUUGUGGAGGGCCAGGUGCAUGCACACUGACUUCAGUUGUACAGUGUUUCCUCCAAUACAUUGGUGCGGCUGGCUUCCGGGUUAAGUGAACAGUGUGUCAAGAAGCAGUGCGGCUUGACAGGGUCAUGUUUCGGAGGAUGCAUGGCUCUCGACCUUCACCUUUCCUGAGUCCGUACUGGAGUUGCAGCGAUGGGACAAGACUGUAACUACCAAUUGGGGAGAAAAAAUGGUAAGAAACAUUUGACAUCAACUGAUAGAUCAUGAGUGCCAUGAAUCUUUCCAUUUUACUGGCUUUGUUACUUUCACUAGUCUCCAUACUGGUUUCCUUCAACUAGGACCCCUCUACUCUUCCCAAAAAGAAAAAUACUCUCAUUCACUACUGCUAGUACACACGGAUCACACUCAAACAAUGUUCUGCUUUUACCCCUAUUGUAAGGUUUUAAAACAAACAAAACAAACAUAAUAACUUUCUCCUUAUUGGAAGGCAUUGUUUGCAUUUUAGUCUACCCUAACAAUGUUACUCUUUUUAUUACCAAUUUCUGUUGGAUAUUCACUUUCUGCUUUGCACUCAUUAAAUGUCUAUUAUUUUGAGAUUCAUGUGUAUUGCGCGGAAAUUAUAAAAUACAUUGGCCAAUUCAGAAGGGGCGAGAGAAACUUUGGAAGGACCUUCCUUUUUAACCCUUUCAUGCGUGAGUUCCAAAUAUCUCUAACGUUCGCCCCAGUGUGAAUUUGUUUAUGCACGUGAUGUUAGAACGUUCUCUCCAUUCCAGAAUAUGAUUGUUACGUAACAGUACAUUUAAUCCGCGCUGCCCUCAAACCAAAGUACGCAGCCUGUUUUUAUUUAUUGGCUGUUUUCAAUUAGUCAAUUUCUAAUUAUUUUCUAAGAACAGUUUGAAUUGAGGUGUGCUCCACCUCAUUCGUUCAUAUAAAAGUUGACAUUUUUACUUUUGUGGACCCGGACACAAUUCCCCAAUUGUUUGUGCAGUUCAAGUCCGCAGACAUUUGCUCAUCUCCCAUCCUGCACACACGUAUUCACAUUUUCCGUCUGUUACCUUCAUCGCAGUCAAAGUUGUUUUUGUUACCAAUAAUAACUUUGUAAAUGUGUGCGUUUCUAUCAAAGUAAGUACCUUAUUACAUUAUAAUAGUUCAAAUCAAAUCUAUUUGUCACAUACACAUGGUUAGCAGGUGUUAAUGCAAGUAUACGAAAUGCUUGUGCUUCUAGUUCCAACCAUGCAGUAAUAUCUAACAAGUAAUCUACCAAUUCCACAACUACCUUGUACACACAAGUGUAAAGGAAUGAAUACGAAUAUGUACAUAAAAAUAUAUUAAUGAGUGAUGGCCGAACAGCAUAGGCAAGAUGUAGUAGAUGGUUUGGAGUACAGUAAAUACAUAUGAGAUUAGUAUUGUAGGGUAUGAAAACAUAUAAAGCAGCAUUGUUUAAGGUGGCUAGUGAUACAUUACAUCGGGAUGGCAAGAUGCAGUAGAUGGUAUAGAGUACAGUACUGUAACGCCCUGGCCAUAGAGAGGGGUUUUUUGUUCUUUAUUUUGGUUAGGCCAGGGUGUUACAUUGGGUGGGCGUUCUAUGUUCAUUUUCUAUGUUGUCUGUUUCAUUGAUUUUGGCCGUGUGGCUUCCAAUCAGGCACAGCUGUUGUUGGUUGUUGCUGAUUGGGAGUCACACAUAAGUGCCUGUUUUUCCGUUGGGGUUUUGUGGGUAAUUGUUUCUGUUACGUACUGCACCUGACAGGACUGUUUUGGCUGUCGGUUUUCUUGUCUUUUGUAUCGUGUUCUUACAUUAAUUAAAUAACUAUGAUGAACACUAACUCCGCUGCAUAUUGAUCCACUUUCUGAGACGAUGACUUCUCUGUUUCGUCUGACGACGAAGACAGCCGUUACAAGUAUAUACAUAUGAGAUGAGUAAUGUAGGUUAUGAAAACAUUAUAUAAAGUGGCAUUGUUUAAAGUGGCUAGUGAUACAUCUAAUUACAUCAAGAUGCAGUAGAUGGUAUGGCGUACAGUAUAUACAUAUGAGAUGAAUAAUGUAGGUUAUGUAAACAUUAUCUAAUAUAAAUAAUAUAAAGUGGCAAGUGAUAAAUUGAUUACAUCAAUUUUCCCAUUAUUAAAGUGGCUUGAGUUGAGUCAGUACAUUGGCAGCAGCUCUCAAAGCCACUCAAUGUUAGUGAUGACUGUUUAACAGUCUGAUGGCCUUGAGCUAGAAGCUGUUUUUCAGUCUCUCGGUUCCAGCUUUGAUGCACCUGUACUGACCUCGCCUUCUGGAUGUUAGCGGGGUGAACAGGCAGUGGCUCGGGUGGUUGCUGUCCUUGAUGAUCUUUUUGGCCUUCCUGUGACAUCGGGUGGUGUAGGUGUCCUGGAGGGCAGGUAGUUUGCACCAGGUGAUGCGUUGUGCAGACCUCACUACCCUCUGGAGAGCCUUCCGG